rnacentral:piRNA from 1 species
UAAUAAUGUCAUUGCUUACUAAUGCACUGC